UAGCCAAGUGAAAUAAUACUACGCAUGGAAAGGGUUUAAAAAGAGGGGAUUGUGUUUUUGACUGGUUGCCUGUCUACCAGAGGUCUGUUGUAGGGUUGUCAUGGUGAUGACUAGACCUCGCGUUUUGGGGGUAUACUGUCCCUUUAAGAGCUGCCGUAAGCCAGAGCACGCAUGCACUCAAGUUUGCGUCACACACUGAGCGCUGUGAGCGGGAGCACUAGAGAGUCAGAGACUGAAAAAGAUUCUGUGGCUAGCUACACAAGAGAGUUCCUAACGUGCGACGGGUGUAUGUUUAAUGGUCACGUGCUGUGAGAAGGACUGAAGAGCGGGUUGGCAGGGGAGAUCACUUGCUGUGUGAUUCCUGCGUGUACUUGUCCUAGCACAGUAGCUGUGUGGAGAAACCGAAACAGGUCACUACUGUUGUCUAUACUGUUUGAAUUUAAUUUGUACAUAUGAUAGUUACUGUUGUCUCAGACCCUGAAAGACAGAUUUAGGCUGAGCCAGUGGAAUAGUUACAUUUACCGUUUUCACUCAAAAUUAUAGUAUUAAAACUGUGCUCCUCCGAGUACAGUCGGAGAAUUAAAAAGCCCACAAAAGAGUAUUUCCUGUGUCCUGUCUCAUUCCCCAUGACCGGGCCACAUAGUUUGGUGUCAGAAGUGGGAUUCUCAGUUUAGUUUUGAGUUUCAGUAUAGAGAGACACAGUGAGUGGGGCUUUAUAGGCAACAGUAGUGGCUGAGAAGAUCCCAGUCCUACCCAGAGGGCGGCAACUGCAGUGUGGAUAUCCUGAGGUGGUUCUGUGCAGUGGCAGUUGGUACAACAGGAGCCGGCUUCAGCAGUUGGAUGAGGAGGGCGCCUGACACAGAUUUUGGACUGUUGAAUCUCAUCUACAAGUGACUGUGGGAAUCUGCUGCAGUAAAGACUCAGAGACAUUGCAGUAUGUCACAAGAGGACGAGGGGGAAGGUCCUUC